rnacentral:rRNA from 1 species
UACGUAGGGCGCAAGCGUUGUCCGGAAUUAUUUGGGCGUAAAGAGCUCGUAGGCGGCCAGUUGCGUCCGCUGUGAAAAUCCCGGGGCUUAACCCCGGGCGUGCAGUGGAUACGGGCUGGCUAGAGUUCGGUAGGGGGAGACUGGAAUUCCUGGUGUAGCGGUGAAAUGCGCAGAUAUCAGGAGGAACACCGGUGGCGAAGGCGGGUCUCUGGGCCGAUGACUCUGAGGAGCGAAAGCGUGGGGGAGCGAACAGG